rnacentral:rRNA from 1 species
AUUGAACGCUGGCGGCAUGCUUUACACGUGCAAGUCGAACGGUAACAGGCCUUCGGGUGCUGACGAGUGGCGAACGGGUGAGUAAUGCAUCGGAACGUACCCAGAGGUGGGGGAUAACGCAGCGAAAGCUGUGCUAAUACCGCAUGUGAUCUGAGGAUGAAAGCGGGGGACCGAGCAGCAAUGUUUGGCCUCGCGCCUUUGGAGCGGCCGAUGUCGGAUUAGCUAGUUGGUGGGGUAAAGGCCUACCAAGGCGACGAUCCGUAGCUGGUCUGAGAGGACGACCAGCCACACUGGGACUGAGACACGGCCCAGACUCCUACGGGAGGCAGCAAUGGGGAAUUUUGGACAAUGGGCGCAAGCCUGAUCCAGCAAUGCCGCGUGCGGGAAGAAGGCCUUCGGGUUGUAAACCGCUUUUGGCAGGAACGAAACGGUGUCCGCUAAUACCGGGCGCUAAUGACGGUACCUGCAGAAUAAGCACCGGCUAACUACGUG